rnacentral:misc_RNA from 1 species
GGAUGAAGCUCCUAAGGAAGAAGGAUGUACCUGACUACAAGUAUACCAUCGCCAUCAAGGGCAAUGCAUAUGCUCAGGUUGCCAUUGGCACCAACGACGUGUACAAGAGUGCCGAGGCGGUUGACUUGGCGACCAAAGAACUAGUAGGUGGCAAGAUCCUGCGGCAGCCUGGGCCGCUGCCUGGGAUCAACACUAAGAUCGCCUCUUUUGUCGAUCCAGAUGGCUGGAAAGUGGUUCUGGUUGACAACACCGACACUUCGUCAGGGAACUCCAGUGAGAACCGGACCGGGGCACCCAGGUACUAG